AGCUUCAACUGAUGAGGUUACAGGCCUCUUUAAUUACGCUCCACACUCGAGUUCACGUAGCUUCAACGGGAUGUUCCCCAAGGCCUUCAGAGACCCACAAGACCGCAUGCUCCGGGAGGCCGCCCUCCUUCCUUGGCCCCUGGCCCCUUUCCUCCAUCUUUCAAGCCAGCAAAUAUGAGGGCUCCCCACUCCACCAGCUGAAUGAGUUCCAUGCCCCACAGAACCUGUUUCCACUCCAUCAGGAGAUGAAACCAAAUGCCACCUGGUUACUCAGGCCUGAAACUUGAAGGUGUUCUUCAUUCCUCCUGUGUCAUUUAUCACCUGCAGCCAAUGAACUCCUCUGGCUCACACCUCUUAGCCAUCUCUUGCAAAAGAGCAUCCUGACUUAUGGCCCACCAAACAUGCACUGUACAUCAGCUUCAAACAUCUUCCCAAAGCAGAGAACGCGCUCUUUAAAGACAGGGAUGAAUGUCUCCCUUUCUGACGCCAGUACCAGCACUUCUUUGAAGAUAAGCUUUUCUUCCCAGAGAUCCAAGGCCAAGUUGAUCUGCUGUUUGUGCUGAGCUGCAGCAAAAUAUAUCCUCGUGAGUUUGGGGAAAAAAUUUGCAUUCCUGUCAUGCUUGAUGUAUGUUCUUUGUUCUGAAACGGUGUGUAACCAUGCGGUAAACCACGCUUCUCAGAGUGCUUUCUUCCCUGGUGGAGAGAACACUUUCGGGAUAGUCCUCAGUGUUGGCUCAAUAAAUACCACUCAUAUUUCUUAUCUAUAGAUUGGUUAUUGAUUAUUUGCAUCGACAGUGCAACUAAGUAUUAAACCACAAUGGUAUUUAUAACCCAUGGGGUCUAUUUAAAAGAUUUCUGAAACCACUUUAUUUUAAAAGGUCAUUUACAACUCAUCAGAACUUACUUCUUUUGUAAC
rnacentral:lncRNA from 1 species